GAGGAAGGUGGGGAUGACGUCAAGUCAUCAUGGCCCUUACGAGUAGGGCUACACACGUGCUACAAUGGCAUAUACAAAGAGAAGCGACCUCGCGAGAGCAAGCGGACCUCAUAAAGUAUGUCGUAGUCCGGAUUGGAGUCUGCAACUCGACUCCAUGAAGUCGGAAUCGCUAGUAAUCGUAGAUCAGAAUGCUACGGUGAAUACGUUCCCGGGCCUUGUACACACCGCCCGUCACACCAUGGGAGUGGGUUGCAAAAGAAGUAGGUAGCUUAACCUUCGGGAGGGCGCUUACCACUUUGUGAUUCAUGACUGGGGUGAAGUCGUAACAAGGUAACCGUAGGGGAACCUGCGGUUGGAUCACCUCCUUA
rnacentral:rRNA from 1 species